rnacentral:lncRNA from 1 species
GGUCGACAAGCUUAUUUGACACUCAAAUAGUGUUAUUUGACGUAUCUUUUUUUGACACGCAAAGACCCAGACACGCGUUCCAUAGAAAUCCUGGUAAGAAUGAAACGACUGAACAGCAAAGCACUUGGGUCAUGUGGACUCCACCGCUGAGGGAGAGCUUCUCCUAUCCCUUCUUUGUCCUGCAGAUGCUGCUGUGAACACACAUUCUCGGGCAUUCCAACCCUGGAGGAAGAUCCCUAGUAAUUAUUGGUGCUUGCAAUGUGUUGUUCCUUCUUCCUUGGCCAUUUGCCCAGUUUGUCUUGCUAACUCAGGUUGCAUGUCUGUUUGCCUGUUAUUUGAUGGGCUUUCUCCACUGCCAAGAUGACGUCACUACUUGUUGUGCACCUGGUAUUACUACUGAAUUGAUAUUUAGACAGACUUGUCACAGGAUUAAGAAACAUACUAGUAUCUGCUGUUGUUGUGAAAUUAUCAUAGUAUAGUUCCAACAUGAACAUUUUUCAUAAAUUAUGGUUUGAUGAUGGAUCAAUGUAUUUUGAUUUGCUCAAAUGUUAUUUAUUUCUCUCUUUAGGCUUCACUUGCCAUCUGCUUUAUUAUGUUGUUUGAGAAUUUGGCACUUUGACAUCUUUUUACACUUUUUCCUUGGUUGCUGGUUGGGUGAGUAGACUAGGAAAUAGACUGAAAUGCCUGAAUACACAAGUGUCAUUCUGUCACACUCAUUCCUGUACGGUGGUGUUUUUCAGGCCAUCGUCGCACUGAGAGACAAUGUUGCACGAGUCUGCAAACCUGGAAUCGUCACAAUUGCAGUAAUUUAGUUAUAUGCUGGGGUACAUUUGUGAAAUUACAUUCCUCAGAAUUUGACAUUUUUCUGUGACCUUUUUCAAGAGAGAUCUAUUGAAUUCCACUGGUAUGAUAGCAUCCCAUGGGUCUCAACUCUAUACCCCCAAUGUAACACCUGGUAACAUGCAAUUACAUACAGAGUAUUGGGAAAGUAUUCAGACCCCUUCUCUUUUUCCAAAUGUAGUUACAUUACAGCCUUAUUUUAAAAUAGCUGAAAUUAGAUUUUUUUUCUCAUCAAUCUACACACAAUACCCCAUAAUGACAAAGCGAAAAGUUUCUUAGAAAGUUUAGCAAAUGUAUAAAAACAAAACAAAUCUGAAAUACCUUAUUUACGUAAGUAUUCAGACCCUUUGCUAUAAGAUAAGAAAUUUAUCUCAGGUUAAUCCUGUUUCCAUUGUUCAUUCUUGAGAUGUUUCUACAACUUGAUUGGAGUCCACCUGUGGUAAAAUCAAUUGAUAUGACAUGAUUUGGAAAGGCACACACCUAUAUAAGGUCCCACAGUUGACAGUGCAUGUCAGAGCAAAAGCCAAGCCAUGAGGUCGAAGGAAUUGUCCGUAGAGCUCCGAGACAGGAUUGUGUCAAGGCACAGAUCUGUAGAUUGGUACCAAAAAAAUGUCUGCAGCAUUGAUGGUCCCUAAGAACGAAACAUGACAAUUAGAGAAAUAAACCACGUGAGAUUUUUGAGUGAGAAUUAAGACUUUCGAGUAGUAGGACAUGUAUAAAAGCAACAGAUACCAUUAAUAAGAAGCGGCUAGACGCGUCUUAUAUGGUGAGCUACCGAGUGGUUAGGACAGGCAAGCCCCAUACUAUUGCGGAGGACUUAAUUCUUCCUGCUGCCGCAGAUCUGGCUGGGACAAUGCUGGGUGAAAAGGCCCAAAAAAACUAUACAGACAAUGACUUAAAUCAAACUACCCUGUUUCCCGAAGCAUCAGUGACAUGGCAGGAGAUGUUUUGAAACAAUUACUUCUUCGCAUACAAGCCAGUGAAUUCUAUGCGUUACAGCUGGAUGAGUCAACAGACGGGCCUGACACAGCUCCUGGUAUAUGCCCGUUACGUUUAUGGGGGGUCAAUUAAGGAAGACAUCCUCUUCUGGAAACCAGGACAACAUGAGAGGAUAUUUUUAAAGUACUGGACAGCUUUGUGACACCAAAUGGACUUUGGUGGUCAAGAUGUGUUGUAUCUGUACUAAUGGCGAAAAAGCCAUGACAGGGACAAGCUGCAACAUCGAGAGCAUCUUGACUGGUUGCAUCACUGCCUGGUAUGGCAACUGCUCGGCUUCCGACCGCAAGGCACUACAGAGGGUGCCAUCCAGGACCUCUACACCCCCCCCGACCCCUCUUUCAUCUAUGCAUAGUCACUUUAACUAUACAUUCAUGUACAUAUUACCUCAAUCAGCCAGACUAACCGGUGCCCCCGCACAUUGGCUACCCGGACUAUUUGCAUUGUUUCCCCCCACCCGCCAACCCCUCUUUUUACGCUGCUGCUACUCUCUGUUUAUCAUCUAUGCAUAGUCACUUUAACUAUACCUACGUGUACAUAUUACCUCAAUCAGCCCGACUAACCGGUGCCGCCGCACAUUGACUCUGUACCGGUGCCACCUGAAUAUAGCCUCCAACUGUUAUUUUCACUGUCAUUUUACUGUUUAAUUUUUUUUUAAAUUUACUUCUCUAUUGUUUACCUAAUACCUGUUUUUUACUUAAGAAUUGAGCUGUUGGUUAGGGCUUGUACGUACGCAUUUCACUGUAAGGUCUAAACCUGUUGUAUUCGGCGCACUUGACAAAUAAACUUUGAUUUGAUUUGAGGUUGACAUGGUGGAGUGGUAUCGCGCGUGUAAGCAGUUGCUCCCGACGCCACUUGGGUACACUGCAGCAUCCACCGAGAGGCUCUUGCUGCCAGGGCCUUUCAAGCCUGACAGCUUGAAAGACGUUUUGGACACUACAGUGAAAAUGGUUAACUUUGUUAAAGCAAGGUUCCUGAACUCUCGUGUAUUUUCUGCAUUAUGCAAUGAUAUGGGCAGCGACCAUGUAAGGCUUUUACGACAUACAGAGGUGCGCUGGUUAUCAAGGGGCAAAGUAUUGACAAAUAUUUUUGUAAUAGAGAGACGAGCUUAAAGUUUUCUUUACUGACCAUCAUUUUCCCUUGUCUGACCACUUGCAUGAUGAUGAGUUUCUCACACGACUGGCCUAUCUGGGUGAUGUUUUUUCUCGUCUGAAUGAUCUGAAUCUAGGAUUACAGGGACUCUCCGCAACUAUAUUCAAUGUGCAGGACAAAAUUGAGGCUAUGAUUAAGAAGUUAGAGCUCUUUUCUUUCUGCAUUAACAUGGACAACACACAGGUCUUUCCAUCAUUGUAUAAUUUUUUGUGUGCAAAUUAACUCAAUCUUACGGACAAAUGUCAAAUGUGAUAUAGCGAAGCACCUGAGUGAGUUGGGUGCACAGUUACGCAGAUACUUUCCCGAAACGGACGACACAAACAACUGGAUUCGUUAUCCCUUUCAUGGCCUGCCUCCAGUCCACUUACCGAUCGAUAUCUGAACAAGAGAGCCUCAUCGUAAUUGCAACAAGCGGUUCUGUGAAAAUUCAAUUUAAUCAGAAGCCACUGCCAGAUCUCUGGAUAGGGCUGCUCUCAGUUUCUUGCCUUGGCAAAUCGCGUUGUUAAGACACUGCCCUUUGCAACCACGUACCUAUGUGAGAGUGGAUUCUCGGCCCUCACUAGCAUGAAACCCAAAUUCAGGCACAAUUAUUUAAGACAGACUCUCCAAUACAACCCAGCAUUGCAGUCAUGUGCAUCCUUUCAAGCACAACCUUCUUAUUAACCUGUGGUGAGUUAUUCACAAUUUUUGAUGAACAAAUAAGGUUUUAUGUAAGAUGGUUAAGAGCAAAAUUAUUGAUUAUUAUUAUUUGUGCCCUGGUCCUAUAAGAGCUCUUUGUCACUUCCCACGAACCGGGUUGUGACAAACUCACACUCAUUCUUAUGUUUAAGAAAUGUAUCGGAUAGUGUGUGUGUUGCAGGCUUACAAUGAUGGCAACAAAAAAAACAUUUGAGAGUGUGCUGACCCAGGUGCUAGAGGGGGUACGCAGCUGGAGGUUGAAUGUUUGGGACUAUAAAAAGUUUGGGAACCACUGGUCUAGAAUGUUAUUGUAUGAUGUAGCAUUAAGAUUUCCCUUCACUGGAAGUAAUGGGCCUAGCCCGAACCAUGAAAAACAGCCCGAGACCAUUAUUCCUCCUCCACCAAACCUUACAGUUGGCACUAUGCAUUGGGGCAGUUAAAGUUCUCCUGGCAUCCACCAAACCCAGAUUAGUUCGUCAGACUGCCAGAUGAUCAUCACGCUAGAGAACGUGUUUCCAUUGCCCCAGAGUCCAAUGGCAGCGAGCUUUACACCACUCCAGCCGAUGCUUGGCAUUGUGAUCUUAGGCUUGUGUGCAGCUGCUCGGCCAUGAAAACCCAUUUCAUGAAGCUCCCAACGAACAGUUCUUGUGCUGAUGUUGCUUCCAGAGGCAGUUUGGAAGUAGGUAGUGAAUGUUGCAACCGAGAACAGAUUUUUACACGCUAUGCGCGUCAGCACUCAUCUGUCCCAUUCUGCGUGUGUGUGCUACCACUUCCUGGCUGAGCUGUUGUUGCUCCUAGACAUUUCCACUUCACAAUAACAGCACUUACAGUUGACUGGGGCAGACAUUUGUCAAACUAACAGUGCCAGGUUGAAUGUCACUGAGCUCUUCAUUAAGACCAUUUUUUAAUUAAUAUAUAUAUAUAACCUUUAUUUAACUAGGCAAGUCAGUUAAGAACAAAUUCUUAUUUUCAAUGACGGCCUAGGAACAGUGGGUUAACUGCCUUGGACAGAACGACAGAUUUGUACCUUGUCAGCUCGGGGAUUCGAACUUGCAACCAACCUUUCGGUUACUAGUCCAACGCUCUAACCACUAGGCUACGCUGCCAGCCCAUUCUACUGCCAAUGUUUGUCUAUGGAGAGUGCAUGGCUGUGUGCUAAAUUUUACACAGCUGUCAUCAACGGGUGUGGCUGAAGUAGCCGAAUCCACAUACUGAUAUAUAUACUGUAUAGUGUAUAUAUUUAUAAAAAAUAUACAGUAUAUGGGGUAUUGGAAAUGAUGCAGACAAUUACAUUGAUGGAAGCCACAAUCGAUCUGAAAUAUUAAAGCUGACCCACCCCUAAAUAUAUAUAUAUACAGUACCAGUCAAAAGUUUGGACACACCUACUCAUUCAAGGGUUUUUCUUUAUUUUUACUAUUGUUCACUAUUUUCUACAUUGUAGAAUAAUAGUGAAGACAUCAAAACUAUGAAAUAACACAUAUGGAAUCAUGUAGUAACCAAAAAAGUGUUAAACAAAUCUAAAUAUAUUUUAGAUUCUUCAAAGUAGCCACCAUUUGCCUUGAUGACAGCUUUGCACACUCUUGGCAUUCUCUCAACCAGCUUCACCUGGAGUGCUUUUCCAACAGUCUUGAAGGAGUUCCCACAUAUGCUGAGCACUUGUUGGCUGCUUUUCCUUCACUCUGCGGUCCAACUCAUCCCAAACCAUCUCAAUUGGGUUGAGGUCGGGUGAUUGUGGAGGCCAGGCCAUCUGAUGCAGCACUCCAUCACACUCCUUCUUGGUCAAAUAGCCCUUAGACAGCCUGGAGGUGUGUUGGGUUAUUGUUCUUUUGAAAUAGAAAUGAUAGUUCCUCUAAGCGCAAACCAGAUGGGAUGGCGUAUCACUGCAGAAUGCUGUGGUAGCCAUGCUGGUUAAGUGUGCCUUGAAUUCGAAAUAAAUCACAGACAGUGUCACCACAAAGCACCAUCACACCUCCUCCAUGCUUCACGGUGCGAACCACACAUGCAGAGAUCAUCUGUUCACCUACUCUGCGUCUCACAAAGACACAGCGGUUGGAACCAAAAAUCUCAAAUUUGGACUCCAGACCAAAGGGCAGAUUUCCACUGGUGUAAUGUCCAUUGCUCGUGUUUCUUGGUCCAAGCAAGUCUCUUCUUCUUAUUGGUGUCCAUUAGUAGUGGUUUCUUUGCAGCAAUUUGACCAUGAAGGCCUGAUUCACUCAGUUUUCUCUGGACAGUUGAUGUUGAGAUGUCUCUAUUACUCAGGCUGCAUUUUUUUAGGCUGGCAACUGUAAUUAUCGUAUCCUCUGCAGCAGAGGUAACUCUGGAUCUUCCAUUCCUGUGGCGGUCCUCAUGAGAGCUAGUUUCAUCAUAGCGGUUGAUGGCUUUUGCGACUGCACUUGAAGAAACUUUUAAAGUUCUGGACAUUUUCCUGAUUGACUGAACUUCAUGUCUUAAAGUAAGGAUGGACUGUCGUUUCUCUUUAUUUAUUUGAGCUGUUCUUGCCAUAAUAUGGACUCUGUCUUUUACCAAAUUGUGAUAUCUUCCAUAUACCAUAAAAUUCUGUGGCUCAAAUCUGCUCGUUGGGCUCUCAACGAAUCAUCUAGGGGUGGUUCGUCGACAAGCUUCAUUAUUGCAAUAAUUAAUCAAUGUUAUUAAUAUGUUUUAAAUGAAGUAAUAUCCUGAUUGGUGACCUUGUUUCUCCUCAUUAUUGAUUAGUAUUUCCACGACACACAACACAACUGAUUGGCUCAAACGCAUUAAGAAGGAAAGAAAUUCCACAAAUUAACUUUUAAGAAGGCACACCUGUUAAUUGAAAUGCAUUCCAGGUGACUACCUCAUGAAGCUGGUUGAGAGAAUGCCAAGAGUGUGCAACGCUGUCAUCAAGGCAAAGGGUGGCUACUUUGAGGAACCUCAAAUAUAGCAUAUAUUUUGAUUUGUUUAACACUACAUGAUUCCAUAUGUGUUAUUUCAAAGUUUUGAUGUCUUCCCUAUUAUUCUACAAUGUAGAAAAUAGUACAAAUAAAGAAAAACCCUUGAAUGAGUAGGUGUGUCCAAACUUUUGACUGGUACUGUAUAGAAAUAAAAUAUGUUACUCAUUGUGUAUAUAUACUGCUCAAAAAAAUAAAGGGAAC